UCAGGCAUAACACAUGCAAGUCGAGCGAGGACUUCGGUCCUAGCGGCGGACGGGUGAGUAACGCGUGGGAACGUGCCCUUUGCUACGGAAUAGCCCUGGGAAACUGGGAGUAAUACCGUAUGUGCCCUUUGGGGGGAAAGAUUUAUCGGCAAAGGAUCGGCCCGCGUUGGAUUAGGUAGUUGGUGGGGUAAUGGCCUACCAAGCCGACGAUCCAUAGCUGGUUUGAGAGGAUGAUCAGCCACACUGGGACUGAGACACGGCCCAGACUCCUACGGGAGGCAGCAGUGGGGAAUCUUAGAAAGGGGGCGCAAGCCUGAUCUAGCCAUGCCGCGUGAGCGAAGGAGGCCUUAGGGUUGUAAAGCUCUUCAGGGGGGAAGAUAAUGA
rnacentral:rRNA from 1 species